GCCGAAAAAGCUCAGUUGGGAGAGCGUUAGACUGAAGAUAUAAAGGUCCCUGGUUCGAUCCCGGGUUUCGGCA
rnacentral:tRNA from 1 species